rnacentral:rRNA from 1 species
AUUGAACGCUGGCGGCAUGCCUUACACAUGCAAGUCGAACGGCAGCACGGGUGCUUGCACCUGGUGGCGAGUGGCGAACGGGUGAGUAAUACAUCGGAACAUGUCCUGUAGUGGGGGAUAGCCCGGCGAAAGCCGGAUUAAUACCGCAUACGAUCUACGGAUGAAAGCGGGGGACCUUCGGGCCUCGCGCUAUAGGGUUGGCCGAUGGCUGAUUAGCUAGUUGGUGGGGUAAAGGCUUACCAAGGCGACGACCAGUAGCGGGUCUGAGAGGGCGACCAGCCACACUGGGACUGAGACACGGCCCAGACUCCUACGGGAGGCAGCAGUGGGGAAUUUUGGACAAUGGGCGAAAGCCUGAUCCAGCAAUGCCGCGUGUGUGAAGAAGGCCUUCGGGUUGUAAAGCACUUUUGUCCGGAAAGAAAUCCUUGGCCCUAAUACGGUCGGGGGAUGACGGUACCGGAAGAAUAAGCACCGGCUAACUACGUG